AGUCUCGUUACAAUCUGCGUAAAAUUUUCCACUCUUUCCUUCUGUUUGCGAACUCAGUGCUACGUAGCAUGUUGUUGAUGCUCCCUGCAUAGCCAUUUUAUGUAUUUUGUGAGUUAAAUCAAUCAUUAAUGGUGUUGGGGGUUGCUUCUGAUGAUUAAUCAUACCUGACUUGUAGUUUUAAGUAACUUUGAUGCCAUAAAAAACAAUGAAUCUGCACAGGAAAGUUUGAGAAGUCAGUUGCCCUCUUGCUCGUGUUGAAGGGUGAAUGCUUUACAUUAUUCAUAUGCAUAAGAAACAAGUUAACAGUGAAGUUGCAGGAAAUACUAUAACAUCUACCUGUGAUAAAGCCCUUGUGAGCUCUAAUGAUGGCAGUUUUUACAAUUCCUGGAUGAACUGCAUUUAUGGUGACUCUGGCAUUUCUUCCCUGCCACCCCACCAAAAAGACCUCGGGAAUAAGGUUGAGGGUUCAUUUUAUUGAAUAAGGAAGAAUGCGAAAUGAUACUGGAAGACUCUACCUGAAGUUGCCUUGAUAGUUCCUUAGCAUGCAAGAUAUUGGCUAGUUUUGAUUGAGCAUAUGCACGAGUGCCAUUGUAACUGCAAAUAAACCACGAUUCUUCAAUAUUUCUUCCACCAUGGCAGAGAGAGGAUUAGGGGUAUAGGUAGAGUGUACUAUUAUAGCUCAUUUUAUGUUUAGAACUCCAAUUUUAGACCAAUUUUAGACGUUGUUUUUAAUUCUUAUUAACUUACAAUUAACUAUAAUAUUAUUAACCAAUCAUAAGUUGGCCUAGUCAUAAA